rnacentral:tRNA from 1 species
ACUUUCAAAGGAUACUAGUCAGUCCACUAAUCUUAGGCGUUAGCCACACU